rnacentral:rRNA from 1 species
UACGAGUGCUUCGAGCGUUAUCCGGAAUUAUUGGGCGUAAAGGGUGUGUAGGCGGUCAUGUUAGUCUCGCGUUAAAUGCUCCGGCUCAACCGGAGCGCCGCGUGGGAAACGGCAUGACUGGAGGACGGAAGAGGUUUCUGGAACUCUCGGUGUAGCGGUGAAAUGCGUUGAUAUCGAGGGGAACACCAAAAGCGAAGGCAAGAAACUGGUCCGCUCCUGACGCUGAAACACGAAAGCGUGGGUCGCGAAU